CGAUGCGUAGCCGACCUGAGAGGGUGAUCGGCCACACUGGGACUGAGACACGGCCCAGACUNCUACGGGAGGCAGCAGUAGGGAAUCUUCCGCAAUGGACGAAAGUCUGACGGAGCAACGCCGCGUGAGUGAUGAAGGUUUUCGGAUCGUAAAGCUCUGUUGUUAGGGAAGAACAAGUGCGAGAGUAACUGCUCGCACCUUGACGGUACCUAACCAGAAAGCCACGGCUAACUACGUGCCAGCAGCCGCGGUAAUACGUAGGUGGCAAGCGUUGUCCGGAAUUAUUGGGCGUAAAGGGCUCGCAGGCGGUUUGUUAAGUCUGAUGUGAAAGCCCGCUCAACCGGGGAGNGCAUUNNAAA
rnacentral:rRNA from 2 species